GGCUCAGAUUGAACGCUGGCGGCAUGCCUUACACAUGCAAGUCGAACGGCAGCACGGGAGCAAUCCUGGUGGCGAGUGGCGAACGGGUGAGUAAUAUAUCGGAACGUGCCCAGUCGUGGGGGAUAACGUAGCGAAAGCUACGCUAAUACCGCAUACGAUCUAUGGAUGAAAGCGGGGGAUCGCAAGACCUCGCGCGAUUGGAGCGGCCGAUAUCAGAUUAGGUAGUUGGUGAGGUAAAAGCUCACCAAGGCGACGAUCCUUAGCUGGUCUGAGAGGAUGAUCAGCCACACUGGGACUGAGACACGGCCCAGACUCCUACGGGAGGCAGCAGUGGGGAAUAUUGGACAAUGGGCGAAAGCCUGAUCCAGCAAUGCCGCGUGAGUGAUGAAGGCCUUAGGGUUGUAAAGCUCUUUUACCCGAGAUGAUAAUGACAGUAUCGGGAGAAUAAGCUCCGGCUAACUCCGUG
rnacentral:rRNA from 1 species